rnacentral:lncRNA from 1 species
CGGGGCUGAACACUUUUUUUAGGCACAAUUCUAACUUUGUUUACACCCCCGAGAGAUCCGAAAGGAAUUUGUUUAUGAAUUGAAAAAGGCAUGAACUAACAUAAUAGUUUUAGCUGUAAGUAAACAUGACACAAUACAGUCUUUGUUAUGUAAUUAUCACUCCGGUUUACAGGAAUAACUGAUAAUCAAGGGAGAUAACAC